rnacentral:rRNA from 1 species
CCUACGGGAGGCAGCAGUGAGGAAUAUUGGUCAAUGGUCGGGAGACUGAACCAGCCAAGCCGCGUGAGGGAUGGAGGUACAGAGUAUCGUAAACCUCUUUUGUCAGGGAACAAAGGCGGGGACGUGUCCCCGGAUGAGUGUACCUGAAGAAAAAGCAUCGGCUAACUCCGUGCCAGCAGCCGCGGUAAUACGGAGGAUGAGAGCGUUAUCCGGAUUUAUUGGGUGGAAAGGGUGCGCAGGCGGUCUGUUAAGUCAGCGGUAAAAGCCCGGGGCUCACCCCCGGCCCGCCGUUGAAACUGGCAGUCUCGAGUUGGAGAGAAGUAUGCGGAAUGCGCGGUGUAGCGGUGAAAUGCAUAGAUAUCGCGCAGAACUCCGAUUGCGAAGGCAGCAUGCCGGCUCCACACUGACGCUGAGGCACGAAAGCGUGGGUAUCGAACAGGAUUAGAUACCCGUGUAGUC